UUGAUAUAUUAUAUUUUUAUUUAGUAUUACUGCUAGUAUCAAUAACAUGUUGUUUCAUGUACAAAGUUCACAACCAAUGAAUGAGUGUCACAACCAUGUACUAUAAUGAUAUGUGGUCAAAUAAUCACAUUCUGGAAACUUGUGGGCAGAUAUGUGGUAAAAUAAUCAUAUUGUAUUCAACUGAAUUUGGUGAUUUAAUUAUCAAUUAUGUGGAACUGAAAUGUGGAUAUGUAAUCAUAUUGCAAAACUAAUGCAGAUUUUAUAUGACUAUCAAAUAUCUGAGCUGUAGUGUUGCAGAGUUAACAUUUAUUUUUAAUCUGAAAAAAAUCUGAAAUAAUUUUUGCAAGCAUGAAGUGAUGUUUACAUAUAAAGCUGGUCAGUUGUAUAUCAUCCCACCUUCUAGGGUUAUAUAUAACCCAAAAGAGAACCAAGGACAUACUUGUAAAUAAGAAUGUUCUAAUCCAAACUGUUAUAUCAUUCUUGCAUAAAACAGAAUAUGACUUCCUUCCUUGCCUUUAAGUUAUUGCUAUAUCUUAUGUGAAUUUCAACUUUAUUAUUCAUUUAUAAUCCUUUGAAUUUAAAGGAUAUAUAUGUUAGGAGAAAAAUAAUUAUUUGACUGAAAGACAAACAAUGAAGAAAUAGCUAAUAGCCAGAUUAGUUUUACUGGUGAAUAAUACAAAAACCUACCUAAUAACAGGUAAUUUCUAAGAAGAGGAAAUUUUUUAAAGAAAAUAUUGGUGUACUUAUAUUUUUUUUUUUUAACAUUUCUCAGUUAAUGCAGUAUAUAAAGUAUUAAGUAACUUCAUGCUAAUCAGAUGGAUGUUCAGUUUAUCUGAUUAUUUAUUUUGAAGGCUGAAGUUUUAAUCUUAUCUGUGUCAUUUUGUAGUCACUUUUGUCAGAUUUUUUGCUUAUGUCCAAGUGCAUUCAAAUUUCAACCUUAAAUUUCUUUUUUAAAUUUACAACAAAAAAAAAGUAAUUUAAAACACUAAUUAACAUGAACU
rnacentral:lncRNA from 1 species